GAUGAAGAACGUAGCGAAAUGCGAUAAGUAGUGUGAAUUCAGAAUUCAGUGAAUCAUCGAAUCUUUGAACGCACAUUGCGCCCUUUGGUAUUCCUUAGGGCAUGCCUGUUCGAGCGUCAUUUAAACCUUCAAGCUAAGCUUGGUGUUGGGUGACUGUCCGCUUCACGGCGGACUCGCCUCAAAAUUAUUGGCGGCCGGUACAUUGGCUUCGAGCGCAGCAGAAACGCGAACUCGGGCCCGUCGUAUUGGCUCCCAGAAGCUAUCUUCACAAUUUUGACCUCGGAUCAGGUAGGGAUACCCGCUGAACUUAAGCAUAUCAAUAAGCGGAGGA
rnacentral:misc_RNA from 1 species